rnacentral:siRNA from 1 species
UGUAAAUUUGUUUAGUUGUU